rnacentral:rRNA from 1 species
CCCACCGGGGACUCCUUAGCAAAACACAUCCAUGAGUACCCUUCCAUGUUGCUUCCCCAGACCAGUAGCCACUGCUGCCAGCUCAGUACCCUAAUGUGGGUUCUUGGGUUGAGGUGUCUGGGGAAGGGCUCAAUAUCAAACUUUUGAACCAAUCAGUCGUCUGAGAAGGCAAUAUGCCGCAAACUUUAAAAUAUAUUAAAACUUUCAACAACGGAUCUCUUGGCUCUCGCAUCGAUGAAGAACGCAGCGAAAUGCGAUAAGUAAUGUGAAUUGCAGAAUUCAGUGAAUCAUCGAAUCUUUGAACGCACAUUGCGCCCUUUGGUAUUCCUUAGGGCAUGCCUGUUCGAGCGUCACUAAAACCCACCUCACAGAUAAUGUGGUAUUGGUAGAAGUAGGUAGUAUUCACAGUACUUUGUCCUACUCUACAGAAAUCAAUAGGCCAGAAAAGUGGACCAUGGUAACAGACUCUCAGAGUGUUUUAAAAUGCUAAACUAGUCUCAUCCAGGUUGGAAUGUGAGCCACUGGACCCCCAGUUAGUNCAAAACAGAGA